GACGAACGCUGGCGGCGUGCUUAACACAUGCAAGUCGAACGCUGAAGCACCAGCUUGCUGGUGUGGAUGAGUGGCGAACGGGUGAGUAAUACGUUAGUAACCUGCCCUUGACUCUGGGAUAAGCCCGGGAAACUGGGUCUAAUACUGGAUGCUACAUGUCACCGCAUGGGGGUGUGUGGAAUGGGUUUACUGGUCUGGGAUGGGCUCACGGCCUAUCUGCGUUUUGGGGAGGUUAUGGCUCACCAAGGCGACGACGGGUAGCCGGCCUGAGAGGGUGACCGGCCAAACUGGGACUGAGACACGGCCCAGAAUCCCACCGGGGGCCGCAGUUGGGGCUUUUUCCCCCUGGGCCGAGGCCUGAUGCCGCGGCGGCGCGUGAGGGAUGACGGCCUUCGGGUUGUAAACCUCUUUCCGCAGGGAAGGCGCCACAAGUGCCGGUCCCUGCUGAAGCAGCGCCGGCUCCCUCCGUG
rnacentral:rRNA from 1 species